AGCACCUGUCCCUCCCCACUACUCCCACCUUAUGUCCACUACAGGCUCACUGUCACACCACUGACGUACCUGACCGAGAGCCCCCUUUUCAGGUACUUUGACACAACAUGAAAAAUAACUAACAGAGACCUGGAACAAGUAGAUCACUCAGCAGUGCCUGAAGGAACCAUCUCUGCCUACUACUUCACUUAAGAUGCCCAGCCUCCAAGACCUUGAAAAAUUUCUUUUCACAGAAGAAAACCACUUUACCACAAUCAGAGUUCAAGAGAAGUGUCUCUAAGUUGUCCAGCUUUGACCUUGGGGCCUGGGUCCCCUUUCUUCCUGCUCGCUCCUCUCAGACCAGAGAAUCUGGAGAUGAAGAGAAACCUGGAGAAAAUGGCCGACUAUAGGAUUCCUGAACUUGAAAAUGCAUGCAUGGAAUUCUGGACAAACAGCUAAGCCUGGAGCAAAGGGUUUGAUUAAAAGAAGAGAGGAGACACCUAUAUUGUGGUGUUGACAUUUAAGAAGACCUCAUUUGCCCCAGAAAACAGGAUUCAGAGUGUUUGUUUUCUACUUCUGUGCCCUGAUCCCUGAGCCAGGAAGAAAGUCUAAGAAUAUAAGGAGGAAGAAUAAGUGAACAAGCUCUCAAGAGGUGACAGUCGUGGGCCAUAACAGGGACCAGAGAAGCAAGCUGGUGAGCUGAGUGAUCUCCACGGCUGAAGAGAUGGAGCUAGGAAUCGGAAGGAGCCAACAUGAGACCGUUUCCAGCGCGGCAUCUAGCAAUCCAGGAAAGCACUGUUCAUGCCAAUCCUUUCUGUCUCGGCCAGCUCGGGUCCACGGCCCUAGCUAACCGCCCCCCCCCCCCCGGCAUCUGUAGAGCAGGGGCCAGGCUGGAGCCUGGAAUGACACCCCUUCCUUCACAGACUGGGCAGUCUCCAAUGGAGGUUGUUCUCCCAUACACUCCCGGGGGUUAUUUCAUAAGACACACACUACAGAGCCUGAGGGCAAACUCUGACCUCUCCUUGGUACUGAGGAACUCUCAUUAUCUAGUGGUUAUCAUUUAAUAAAAUCCCCAAAUUUCAUGUUGUCUAUGGAGUACACUUGAAUUACAUUGUUCAGCCAUUCUUCAACUGUAUGGAUCUAUCCUGUGACGGUUAAUACUGAUUGCCCACAUCACGUGAUCUAGACUGUACUUAGGAGACAAGCUUCCAGACCCCAGUGAGGGAUUAUUCAAUUCAGCUUAAUCUUUAGGCACGUUUGUGAAGGAAUUCAUUCCCUGAACUGGAGUCCUGUACUGAAUAAAGAAAG